GGUAAGGUACAGCUCAGUGGUAGAGCGCAUGCUUAGCAUGCACAAGAUCCUGGGUUUGAUCCCCAGUACCUCCA
rfam:Camelus ferus unplaced genomic scaffold scaffold310, whole genome shotgun sequence.